AAGUCGUAACAAGGUUUCCGUAGGUGACUGCGACGAUCGAUGAAGAAUUAAGGAUCGUUCGCGGCCAAGUUCUCACCCUUUGUAUACCGAAACCAUGUUGCUUUGGCAGGCCCCUGCAUUUCUCGGGCCUGCCAGAGGUUAUAAACCCUAGAAUCUCUGCUGUCUGAGUACUAUACAAUAGUUAAAA
rnacentral:misc_RNA from 1 species